CUCACGGCCUCUCUGCCUGUCCCUCUGUCCCCUCAGGAGAUCCCCCGAGACCUCACGCUGGAUGCCCUGCUGGAGAUGAAUGAGGCCAAGGUGAAGGAGACGCUGCGGCGCUGCGGGGCCAGCGGGGAUGAGUGUGGCCGUCUGCAGUAUGCCCUCACCUGCCUGCGGAAGGUGACAGGCCUGGGAGGGGAGCACAAGGAGGACUCCAGUUGGAGUUCGUUGGAUGCACGGCGGGAAAGUGGCUCAGGGCCUUCCACGGACACCCUCUCAGCAGCCAGCCUGCCCUGGCCCCCAGGGAGCUCCCAGCUGGGCAGAGCAGGCAACAGCGCCCAGGGCCCACGCUCCAUCUCCGUGUCAGCUCUGCCCGCCUCAGACUCCCCCACCCCCAGCUUCAGUGAGGGCCUCUCAGACACCUGUAUUCCCCUGCACGCCAGCGGCCGGCUGACCCCCCGUGCCCUGCACAGCUUCAUCACCCCGCCCACCACACCCCAGCUGCGACGGCACACCAAGCUGAAGCCACCACGGACGCCCCCCCCACCCAGCCGCAAGGUCUUCCAGCUGCUGCCCAGCUUCCCCACACUCACCCGGAGCAAGUCCCAUGAGUCUCAGCUGGGGAACCGCAUUGAUGACGUCUCCUCGAUGAGGUUUGGUAAGAGAGAUUCAUUUCCAUCCCCUCUACCACCUGGGAGUCGUGUGUGCGUUGCUGUCCCCAUCGGGGGUGGACCUCUUUGACCCACCUCUUAGCCCGUUCAGCCUCUCCAUAGUCCAGAAGCAGAGGUGCUGGUGACCGCCUCAGGAAAUAGCCCUAAGACAGGUGGCCUUAAAGUGACUGGCUGGCUUCAGCCCAGCUGGUGGCUGCUCUCUGAGAAGCAGAGACCUUGAGCACAUCUCAGCCCACAGGCAGCCCCAUGAAGAGCCCUGUCUGCACCUUGCCCUUCCCCACCGAGA
rnacentral:sRNA from 1 species